AUGCAAAACAACUCUGGAAAGGCCAGCAGGAUUUUUGAUUUGCAAAUCAAAACCUGUUUAGCUGCAUUCAAAUCUUUUUGAUCGAUGUUUCCCGUUUUUAUUUGUUCUUUUUCCCACUAAUAGGCACCUCGGGCAAGAAGCUACGGAUAUACAUAUAUAUUUCUGGCUGAUUACUGUCACCUUGUUCUCUGCUCUGGUGUGGAACCACUCCCAGCUAUGCCAGUCCUUUCCCUGGCCCCCAGGCUCCAUCACACCCACGCCCUGCACCUGGGAUGCCAGCAGAGCCUCCUUGCAGCAGCCAAGUAGGCAGAGGCCUGCUCUUGUCUCAGCUUGCUUUGAGAAAUUCACAUAUAUAACAGCACAAAGGUUUUGCCCAUGCCUCUAAUUGCGCUCUUAAUAUGCAUGAGAUUACAUUUUGUUGGGUACACCGUGCUGCAACUGUGCUUUUAACUACAAAUGUUUCCUGUCUCGUAGUCUCAUCCUUUCGCAUUGCAGGGGCUGUCGUCUUCAUGGCUUAUAUUCUCUCUCAUGUGUUUUCCAUCUUCUGAAUCCUUUUUCUGAGAGUUAUUGCUUGUUUGUCAUCCCCAGUAACGAGAUCCUCCAAGGAUAUCUUCUGAUUUCGCAUCCUGAACACACAAUAAGGAACCUGGUCCAAAGUCUCUUCGAGGAGAGCUAGCCCUGAGACCACAGGUAGACUUGAAACAAGGCUAGAGCAAGACAGUGUCCUGAGACCACAGGACUUGAAACAAGGCUAGAGCAAGACAGUGAAUGGUGGUGGAGGUGGGGAUUCAAGCAGGUACAGCUCCUUCACAGCUCAGGCAAAGCCUGGCUGCUCUGACCUAACACCAGCUGAAGCUCAUGGCCCUGUGGUCGGGGUGAAUGGAAGGGGUCAGAGGAUAAAGGCCAGCUGUUGCCUUCAGGACCGUGGAAUGGGGAAUCAGAAGGCCUCAAACUGGACAAGUUAAUGUGCUGUGAUGUUCAGCAUAGUCCAUUGUUCUGGCAUGUAACAUAUUGAUCUGCAAAUCCAGUCCUAGAUCUUCUUGGCUUGGGACGUGUCUUUCACAGACCUCUCACUCU
rnacentral:lncRNA from 1 species